rnacentral:rRNA from 1 species
CGGUAAAGAUUUAUUGCUCUUGGAACGGGCUGCGGUCUAUCAGCUAGUUGGUACGGUAACGGCGUACCAAGGCUACGACGGAUAGGGGGGGUGAGAGCCCGGUCCCCACCGAUGGAACUGAGACACGGUCCAUACUCCUACGGGAGGCCGCAGUCGAGAAUCUUCCGCAAUGGACGAAAGUCUGACGGAGCGACGCCGCGUGGUGGAUGAAGUCCCUCGGGACGUAAACACCUUUUAUGAGUGAAGAAGUUUAUUGACAUUAGCUCAUGAAUAAGGGGCUCCCAACUCUGUGCCAGCAGGAGCGGUAAUACAGAGGCCCCAAGCAUUAUCCGGAUUCACUGGGCGUAAAGGGUGCGUAGGCGGUUAUAUUAGUCGGGUGUUAAAUCCUUGGGCUCAACCCAAGGCUCGCAUUCGAAACGGUAUAACUAGAAGGAGUCAGAGGUAAGCAGAACUCUCGGUGUAGGGGUGAAAUCCGUUGAUAUCGAGGGGAAUACCAAAUGCGAAGGCAGCUUACUGGGACUUUCUUGACGCUGAGGCACGAAAGCGUGGGUAGCGAACGGGAUUAGAUACCCCGGUAGUCCACGCCCUAAACGCUGUCUGUUGGCUUUGGGGGGAAUCGACCCCCUCCGAGGCGAAGUUAACACGUUAAACAGACCGCCUGGGUAGUACGAGCGCAAGCUUAAAACUCAAAGGAAUAGACGGGGGCUCGCACAAGCGGUGGAUCAUGUGGCUUAAUUCGUCGAUAAGCGAAAAACCUUACCAAGGCUAGAAAUCAUACUGCACGCUUCGGGAAACCGAAGAAGCCUUCGAGGGUGUAUGACAGGUGAUGCAUGGCCGUCGUCAGUUCGUGGCUUGAGCUGUUCCCUUAAGUGGGGAAACGAACGCAACCCUCGUUGCCUGUUACAAGUGUCAGGCGAGACUGCUCCCUCACGGGAGAGGAAGGUGAGGAUGACGCCAGGUCAGCAUGUCCCUUGAUGCCUUGGGCCGCACACGUGAUACAAUGGGACGUACAACGGGACGCAAUACCGCAAGGUGGAGCAAAUCCUAAUAAAACGUUCCUCAGUUCGGAUUGUGGGCUGCAACUCGCCCGCAUGAA